UUGCUUGCUGACAUUAUAUAGUAAGCAAUUCCUGCCCAGUGACAAAUGUUCAACGGCCGCGGUAUCCUAACCGUGCAAAGGUAGCAUAAUCAUUUGCCUAUUAAUUGUAGGCUAGAAUGAACGGAUAAACGAAAUAAAAACUGUCUCAAUCAGCACCCUAAAAAUUAACCCUUGCGUGAAGAGUCGCAAAUAACCUCGAAGGACAAGAAGACCCUAUAGAGCUUUAUUCUAUGUAUAGAUAAAUUACUACACUAAAAUUCGGUUGGGGCGACCAAGGACAUUACAAAACACCCUUAAGAAAAAAGAUUUAUUAAUCAACAUAAUGACCCUUAUUAAGAUCACAAAACCAAGCUACCUUAGGGAUAACAGGCUAAUCCUAUUUAAGAGUUCAUAUCUACAAUAGGGCUUGGCACCUCGAUGUUGGCUUAGGAAAUCAAUAUAACGCAAAAGUUAUAUAAAGAUGGUUUGUUCAACCAAUAACAUCCUACAUGAGCUGAGUUCAGACCGGCGUAAGCCAGGUUAGUUUCUAUCCACGAUAAGUAUAUCUGCCCGUAGUACGAAAGGACCUGGGAAAGAAUAAUAAUUUAUAAGUUAAGAUCCAUUAUAACAUAUUAUAUAAACAAAAAAAUUUACAAACUAUA
rnacentral:rRNA from 1 species